GGGUUUAGGAAACGUUAUUUAGG
rnacentral:siRNA from 1 species